GACACUUUGGCCGAGUGGUUAAGGCGAUGCCCUGCUAUAAAAGGAAAUUUUCACUGAUCUCCUGAUAUUACGUAGGCAUUGGGGUUUCCCCGCGUGUGUUCGAAUCGCACAGGUGUCG